AGUGCCUAUCUAACGGCAUUUCUUGGUUUAACAGAAUAUACCUUAAAAAUAAAAGAAUAUUCUGUUAAAUUUAACGAUGUUAAUAGUUUGAUCUCCCGUUAACAAAUAAACCCAAUAAUUAAACCCAAAAAAUUAAACAAUUUUUUUUAAAUUAAAAAAAAUUAUCUUACCCACAUAUCUCUCUAACAAAUUUUAUUUUUUUAAAUAGAAACUAACGGGAGAUUAACAUCUCCCUUAACUUUCAAAUCCAUAAUUUAUCUUAUUUAUAAUUUUCUUUUUUUUUUUGUUUAAAAUCUCAAACCCUAUAUCUUUGAGAGGUUAUGGAGACGGCUGCGUGAAGCCUACCUCUGCUCCAAUUCUUCUUCUCUUCAUCUCAAUCCUAAAAUAUAAAAAAAGCAAUUGAUCGUGAAACUUUUGGAAAAGAAGAAAUCCCAAUCGAUCGAUCCUCUCUUCUUUUCAAGAAAUCAAAAUUGGAGAACGACUGCAACAAUAAUGGCCUCUUCGUUUGCAACAAUGAUCGUGAAACUCUUGGGAAAGAAGAAAUCCCAAUUAAUGUCGCUACAUUUUAUUGCAAGAAGAGAUCCAAUUCGAUAUCGCCCAAAAAUUGCAGCAAAUCCAAUUGUCACAUCAACGAUUCAGUUUAGCUCCUUCACUCCCCAACAAGUUGCCCUCGUAGCUUGGAGAGCAGCUCAGAGGGAGAGGGUUCUGAUCCAAUGUGAUUUCAUAUUUCAGGCCUUCGUGAAAGAAUUGAGGCCAAUAUAAGAAUGCGAUUUAUAGUCAAGCUCAAGACAUUGGGUCUUUCUAAGAGUUUAACAUUCUUGCCUUUCAAAAGGUCGAUGGGAGAGUGCGCUAGCUCAACACUUUAUAAACAAAUCGAGAUUCUCGUGCAUCCUAAUUUAAUAUAAUGUUUAGUCAUAUAUGUUCUAUUUGUGUUUCUUCUCAAUAAAUUUCUGUUAACUGUAGCUGUUAGAGAGGACCUUCCACUUCCGGUAAUGGAAGGCUUGGAUACUUUAGUAGCUAAAACUAAAGCCCCACCAACACAUAUUCAGCCAGAUCCAUAUGGUUUGAAAUUUAUUCUUCUCAGCGUAUGAGAACAUUUUUGUUUUUUCUUUCUUAGAAAAGAAUAUGUUUAAAUCUUACUACCUUGUAAGGCAAGAUGAACAAAUAUCUGUAUUUUGAUGAUGUUGCAAUAUCUAUAUCCUUAUUAACAAUAGUUAACUACUUGUUUGUCUUGAUGCAAGGUUUCCUAAAAAAACUCUUUCCAAGGACCCAUUCCAUUCUUUACUACAACUGUAAGAGUUAACAGGAUUCAACAAAAAUUUAACUAUAUAUAUAAAUAUUUAUAUA